AUGAAGUCGCAAAGAACCGAUCAAUGCCAACUGAAAUCCAAGGUCAAGUUGUUGUUGACUUCAGUAGAUACCAAAUCCAAAAAUGGUGACAGAAGAGACCCAGAAGGAAGAGUGCAACUAUUUCAGCUUUGCCAAAGACAUCUGGGAUUAGAGUACUAAAGUGACGUGGUAUGGAGUGUCUCUAGGGCAGGGAAGAAUCCAAAGGCAAGCAUUUGAGGUAUGCGGAUGAAGAGGUAAGAACAAUUUUAUUCAUAUUUAAUAAUACUUUUUCUUACUGAUAUUUUUAUACAUUUAAAAAAUCAAUU
rnacentral:lncRNA from 1 species